GAGUCAGAGAAUCCCUAGCAGGCUCUGAGCUGUCAGUGUGGAGCCCAACGCAGGGCUCAAACUCACAAACCGUGAGAUCAUGGCCUGAGCCGAAAUCAAGAGUUGGACGCUUAACCAACUGAGCCACCCAGACGCCCUGCCUCCUCUUACCAAAAAUGUUAAGAUACUUCCUAUGAAGAAACAAUUCCGGGACAAGCAGGCUGCCUAGUUCAUCUUGUUAUGUUCCAGUUGUAUUUAAUCCAUGGAUUUCACCGUUAAGACCAACAGACGCUGUAGUAGGACGUCAGGCACUGUUGGUGGGAACGUACAUCGGUGCAGCUACUGAGGAAAACAGUACAGGGGUUCCUAAAAACCACCACCUGACCGGACAAUCCACGUCUGGGUACAGAUCCAAAGGAAAUGAAAUCAGUGCCUCCCAGGGAAAUCUGCAUUCCCAUGUUCCCAGCAGCACGAUUCACAGCGGCCGCGUCGUGGAAACAACCAAAGGGCCGCGGAGAGACGAGUGGGUAAAGAAAACGUGGUGUACGUAGGCGGAAUGUAAUCUAGUGACGACACGCAUGACCCUGGAGGCCAACACGCUGGGUGAGGGAAGCCAGGCACAGGACAAACACCGCAUGACCCCGCUUCCCUGAGAAUCUACAGAAAACUCAGGGGAGCAGGGGCCGGGCGGAGGGAACGCACGCCAGCAGCAGUUCAGGCUGCGCACCAGCAAGUGCAGACAUUACAGCACAGCGCGGUGCCCGCCGUCAACACGGACCACGUACUGGAAAAUUCGCCAAGGAGAAAGUUUAUGAAACCAAAAAGUUGGAAAGAAUUUCCCAAAAGCCCGGUACGGCGGUGCAGCCACAGGACACAGAAGCACAGCUCCCAGAGGCUAUAAGUGUGUCACCUUCAACACUGCUGACGAUGCACGUCCUGUCUGCAGGAAAGCAGUUUUGGUGGCUUGAGGGUUUUUUCUCUGUACUUUUGCAGUGAACAUGCGACACGUAUAACCAGAAAAAACAUUGACGUGAUACAAUAAUGCCUACCUUGUUUUCCUCAUAGUGGACAUUAUGAAGAUCAGAAACGUUUUAAAAUGCCCUGAAAAAUCAUAACUUACCCUAUGUGCAUAGUCUUACUACCACGGAAGUUCUCCCAGGGCAGGGGCUAGGCUUUCAAGUCAACACCAUUCUCUAGAGUGAGGCACACACACACACAGUAAGCACUUACUGAACUCAUGCUGAAUAUACAAAUAAAUGCAUGAAUGUC